UCCUACGGGGCGCAGCAGUGAGGGAUAUUGGUCAAUGGGGGAAACCCUGAACCAGCAACGCCGCGUGAGGGAAGACGGUUUUCGGAUUGUAAACCUCUGUCCUCUGUGAAGAUAAUGACGGUAGCAGAGGAGGAAGCUCCGGCUAACUACGUGCCAGCAGCCGCGGUAAUACGUAGGGAGCAAGCGUUGUCCGGAAUUACUGGGUGUAAAGGGAGUGUAGGCGGGAAAGCAAGUCAGAAGUGAAAACUAUGGGCUUAACCCAUAGCCUGCUUUUGAAACUGUUUUUCUUGAGUGAAGUAGAGGCA
rnacentral:rRNA from 1 species